UGCGUAGGCGGAUUAAUAAGUCAGUGGUGAAAUCUUUCGGCUCAACCGAGAAACUGCCAUUGAUACUGUUGAUCUUGAGUUCGGUUGAGGUAGGCGGAAUGUGUAAUGUAGCGGUGAAAUGCUUAGAUAUUACACAGAACACCAAUUGCGUAGGCAGCUUACUAGACCGACACUGACGCUGAGGCACGAAAGCGUGGGGAGCGAACAGGAUUAGACACCCUGGUAGUCC
rnacentral:rRNA from 1 species